ensembl:miRNA Gm22196 predicted gene, 22196
AACUGAAUGUCAACCACAUGGUAAAGAUUUUACACACACACAAACACACACACACACAUACAUAUAUAUGUGUGUGUGUAUGUGUGUAUAUAUACAUGUGUAUAUAUAAUA